UUUAAUCGAAGAACAUUCUAGGGCUUGUAACUUGUGCGGACGAUAUCUCCUUCAAUUCUCAACGUUUUCAGAAUUCCACAUAUUCCAGUUCGUGUGUUAAUUCUCGUGGAACGUUUCUUCGCAACCUGAGUUCGUAUCUGUCCAACUACUGGUAAUCAGUAUUAUACUCCUAUUGUUCCAGAUUCUUCCAAACCUGUAGUGAUUAUUGAAGGACUUGGGAGCUUGCCGUCUGAUGCUGCUGGAGUGGUUGUGGUCGUGAUUGAUUAACUGUGAGCAUAU
rnacentral:lncRNA from 1 species